UGAGGAACAUGACCUUCGGCGGGGGAUAGCCGGCCCAACGGCCGGGUAAUACCGCGUACGACCACAUGGGGACAUCCCUGAGUGGUGAAAGCAGCAAUGCGCCGAUGGAGUGCCUCGCGGCCUAUCAGCUAGUUGGUGAGGUAAUGGCUCACCAAGGCGACGAUCGGUAGCUGGUCUGAGAGGAUGAUCAGCCACAUUGGGACUGAGACCACCGGCAAAACCUCCG
rnacentral:rRNA from 1 species